rnacentral:rRNA from 1 species
GACGAACGCUGGCGGCGUGCUUAACACAUGCAAGUCGAGCGGAAAGGCCCUUCGGGGUACUCGAGCGGCGAACGGGUGAGUAACACGUGAGUAACCUGCCCCAGACUUUGGGAUAACCCUCGGAAACGGGGGCUAAUACCGGAUACGACACAGCUUCGCAUGGGGUCUGUGUGGAAAGUUUUUCGGUUUGGGAUGGGCUCGCGGCCUAUCAGCUUGUUGGUGGGGUGAUGGCCUACCAAGGCGACGACGGGUAGCCGGCCUGAGAGGGCGACCGGCCACACUGGGACUGGGACACGGCCCAGACGCCUACGGGAGGCAGCAGUGGGGAAUAGUGCACAAUGGGCGGAAGCCGGAUGCAGCGACGCCGCGUGAGGGAUGACGGCCUUCGGGUUGUAAACCUCUUUCAGCAGGGACGAAGCGUAAGUGACGGUACCUGCAGAAGAAGCGCCGGCCAACUACGU